AACGUACUUCCUCCGUCCGAAAAUACUUGUCAUCAAAAUGGACAAAAAUGGAUGUAUCUACAACUAAAAUACAUCUAGAUACAUCUCCUUUUAUUCAUUUUGAUGACAAGUAUUUCCGGACGGAGGGAGUAUAAG
rfam:Triticum aestivum genome assembly, contig: Triticum_aestivum_CS42_TGACv1_scaffold_195399_3AL